UUCUCUUUGAUCAGGACAUGAGUUCCAAGAAAUGGGGAGCAGGAGGUACAAAAGAUGCUGCUUUGUUCACCGCUAUGAACUAAGUACCUAGUAUAGUAGCACAUAGCAAGCACUCCAUUAAUAUUGGUCUGUUAAAUUGAUGAAUAACAUAAGUAUCAGCUUGCAGGGUAAGGUGGAAGAGGGGACAAUUUGGGGCAAAGAAAGCCUUAUUUAUAUCCUGUUCAUCAUCCCCCGAGGCACACUCUUUCUCAGACAGUGCAGAAGGUUGAUUCAAGCUAUGUGAGUCUUCUGGAUAACCAGGCUUCUGCCUCAAAUAGAUGUUGGACAUGACCUGAGACUAAACAAUGUUCAUAGGCAGAAAUAAUCGAGGAAUGGCCAUGCUGCGGUUUUUCCUGUAUUUGUUGGAAAUUUAUCCAUUACUCUUAACUACGUUGCUGCCCCCAGGAAGCUUGACUCAUGAGUAGUCAUGAGUCAAGUAGUUCCCUUCUGUUCUAGAUAUAGGAGUUGGCAAACAUCAGGGCACAAAGGACUGGGGGAACAAGGACAAAGUCUGAAAGCUUCCCUGAGAGAAAGAAUCCCUGAUACUUUGACUUCUUGCCUUCUCUUCGUGAAUUGCCCGAGGUCUGAGGAUUUUACUUCCCUCACUUCUUCACCCCUUGCUAUUUGCUAUCCCUGUGAUAGGAGAGGACAGGAUGUGCCAGAAAUGGAUUAAAAGAUAUGUUAUACUGGGAAUCAGAAUUGGAUAAGGCAAUUUCAGAGCUUUACCAAAGUGUCCAAAGAAAUCUAAAGUUAAAAAAAAAUUCCAAGUGUAGAAAAUUCAAAGAAUUUAUGAUACAAGUAUAGCAUCUGAGCCACAGUCUUCCACAGCUGGGCUGAUUCUACAGUCCAGAGAACAGGGACCCACUACCACAGCUAGUCAACUGGGCAAAGAACAAAUGAUGAGUGUGACCUUAACACUACAACCAGCUGGCCACGAGGGCUCCCUUUCUAAAUGCAUGCUCAGCUCAUUUGUUCAAAAAAGAUUCCUAGAACAAUUCUAUCUUUUCAUUUUCUACCUCAGCCAUUCCUUCAGACCAACAUCAACAAAAGGAGCACCAACAGAAAAAGGCUAGGUACAGUCAGCAAAAAUGUUUAGAUUUCAGUGUACUUUUUACUUGCUUCCUCAGAGAAGUAGAGUAUGUACCUUAUCUGAUCCACGCAACUCCCUACAAACCUUAACAAUGCUUGGAAAACCUCUCCUAUAAAAGGUAAUUUAAAAGGAACUGUCAGGGUGCCUGGCUGCCUUAGUCAGUGGGGUAUCCAACUCUUGAUCUCAGGGUUUUGAGUUUGAGCCCCAUGUGGGUGUAGCAAUUACUUAACAAAAAUAUCUUUAUUAAAAAAAUAGAAACUGUUCCCUGGGAAGAUAGGCUCUUGUGAAAUGAGCACCUUUUUUCCAAGAAAACCCACAAAUAAGAUUAUUGUCAAGGAACUUGACAAAUAAUAAAUAAUAAUAUAAAUCUAAAGACUUUCUUAAUCAGAGUUGAUAUAUGUAAUUCAAAAUAAUUUUGGUCAUUAGGGAAUCUCUAUCUCACUGGCAAGGCAAAGAAAGCAGUAAGUUGAAUAAAGGAAUCAAACAUAGCAACUUUCAACUCAAUAUGAAUCAGCUCAACAAGGUAAAGAGACCAUCUCAAAGCUAAAUAGAAGGGUUAUUAUUUUAUCUUGGUGGUUUCCCAGGCCACUACCCAUAACCUACAUUUUCAAAGUACUGCCUCUUAAAGAGACCACAGUGCUCAAGCAGAUAUGCAAGUCUACCCUCAUUCCUAGACAUACCCUGAGAACAUCCAAUGAAAACUAGGAGAGGGGCAAUUUUUUUGACAGGGACUUUGGGAGGAUACUUUCCUCCAGAUCUUCUAGGUUAAACAAUGUGCUCUGAGUAUAGUUCCAGAGAAGAGAGUCCUCUUUUUGCCACUUGGCUUACACUUGAACAGGUUUUUCACCCCCCAGCAUCAUGAAACCUUGACUCUAGCUUAGACAAGAAGGUAUAGUGAAGUCAACUUUCUGCCUUUGAGAUGAAUAAAAGAUUAUCUGGCACUAGAGUAGUCUAGAAUUGCAUAGCUAUAUUCAAAUUUACCUUCCUGAGGCCUAGGAAAUGUCCCAUUUUCAUGCUGUGGCUAGGGCAAAACAACAACUAGAACUAUUCAAUGGUCACCUAUUCUGAUGUUCACCCAGCUUCACUUUCCAUACUUUGAUAUUUGAAAAUGUUCACCACAUUUCCUUCAUUGCACUUAUCAUAAUUGUAAUUUAUUAUAUUAGCACUGUUUAUUCAGGGCUUUAGCCAAGGCACUUAGAAAAAUGCCUGACAAAUAAAGCUCAUUAUAAAAAUAAUUGCUGGAUAGAUAAAUGGAAAGCAGAAGCAGCUUCUCUUCAUUCCUUCUCUUAUUCCCAGUGAUUACUGAUUUAUCACUUUUGGACCUUUAAUAAAAUAAAAAAUUGCUGAGCCCAAUUCCAAAGCAGGAUUACUGUCACCUAAGUCCUUAAGCAUGGAGAUAAAAGUUCCUGCCUCUGUCUGCGCUACUCUUUUUCUGGUUACCCAGGUCACACCUAGAUUUACGGGUAUCAUUAUAAAGGUAUGUUCCGUGAUGUGCUGGGAAUGCUCACAGCAAGUCUCCGAUAUUCACAUAGAGGAGAUUCCAGUAUUGUCUACUAAAAUCAUGGUGGCACGGUGGAAGGCACUAUGGUGCGGUGCUCUUGGAACCAGGGAUUUAAAUGCCAACUUGGUCUUCUACCAUUUGUAGUUAGCAGAGAUUAGUACUCAUUAUUUCUGAGCCCAAUUUCUCAUGUACAAAUACUAGAAAGACAUCACUGCAGGGGAACUGGGCAGAUCAACACAUUUUUUAGGAAAAGCUUACCAAAUAUUAUAGAUGCCUAAUAAUUAAGCAAAUGUCAUCAGCAAGCCAUUGUAGGAUGCCCUCUGCCUAAACACAGACAAGAUGGCAACAGCUAGUGUGGGGGUAUUAUUUUCCACAUGUGUAGCUGAGCACUUAUGAUAUCCCUUUUGAAUAGCAUCAAAAUCAAAUAAUUCCUGGAAGUCAAAUGACAUUCAAGAAGAAAGUUCAAGAAGGUCAAUUAAAUCCAGGACCUGUGAAGGCCUCAGGUUCAUAUUGUUGCAGGGGAGGAUCGGAGAGAAGGAGGGAUGGACUUAGGCAGCAGGCUGUUGGCAGCACCCACAUAUGGGUCCAGACGUUUCACUACACUCAGUCCAAUCUUGAUAAUUUGAGGUAUCCUAUCCCAACACCAGGCCUCAUCAUCAGGUAAAUCAUCACUUUACCACCACUAAGAAAAGGUAGGUCUUGGCGAAACAAAAUCCAAAGUUCCACACAACCCACUUAGGCACAAAAUUUAAACAAAUGAUGCAACAGUUUUUAAACAGUUGUGAGAAGUCUUUCAUGCAGGGACCACUGGCAUAAAAAUGAUCGUGCUUAACAUCAGUGUACGUGGGGGAAGAGCCGAGUUUUCCUCCUUUCCAAAGCAGAAUAGGCUGUGAAAUCAGACACACCAAAACUUAAAUCCUGGCUCUACUACCACUUAGGGAUUGGGUAAUGUUGGGCAAGUCCCAUAACUUACCUAAACUGAAUUUCUUCAUCUGAAGUAACACGGAGAAUAAUCAUGCUUAUUUUGUUAUGCCACAUGGGAAAUAGGAAAAGUCCCUACAAUAUUGAAGGCAUACAACACAGACAUGCAGUUCUAUUUAUUUCUAUUCUAUAUUGUAAAGCUUGACCUGAGAGCUUCACAGUAUCGAUUUGUAUUUAUUGCUUAAAUUGUGUUCAUUUAGGGAAGCCUGUUUUUAAAAGUGAAAGUUUGCCUUCGCACCCUAACACCAGGCUCUCAGAAACUGACAAAGCAGCCCAAAAAAGCAUGCUAACCUUGGUGGAUCCAGGUGCCUCCAUGAGGAGCCAGGAUGUUUACUGCUUGGAAGGUAUCCGAACCACUUAUCAAUAUCCAUAUGCUACCUUUAAAAGGGAUGUUUAGCAGCCUCUUGCCUGGAAGAUUGUUUUGGGGGGAGAGGGAUUAAUAAAUUAUGUAUAUUUAACAGCUAAGAGAGCAAAAUGCUACUUGAACAGUUUAGCAUUGGUACGAAACUACAAAAUCAAAUGCAAAAAUAACGUAUAAUAACACAAUGUUUAGUUGCCAUAAUAAAGUUUGACCUAGAGUUCAUGUUUUUCUUCAUUUCUUUCUUGUUUAUACAAAUAUUAGCCUAAGAUUAGACAAAUGUGAUUACCUUUUACAGAAUCUGUAAAGGUAGAGGAGGAUCAAAGAAAGACUUUUAUACAUCAAAGUAAGAAACAAAAUAGAGUAGUGAAAAAGCUGAGAGAGGAAAGAAUUGGCAAAGACAACCACUGUUAUGCGUUGGCUGUACUUACGCUUACAAAUACACUUGUGUUUGUACACUUACAUUAGUAUUUUAUAUACUUUACUAAAUGUUAUAAAACUUAGAAUAUGUCAUCACAUUCACUAGAAGCAACAUCUUUAUGUUGAAUAUAUGUUCUAUGUUGAUGAUAUUAAAAUAUACUGGUGACCUGUAAUAUUUUAAGUAAAUUUAAAUAACUUUUGAAUCACAACACUUCACUCAUACUAAAAGGUGUGAUUACCCUAUUUU
rnacentral:lncRNA from 1 species